UCGAGAAGCUUCGGCAAUGGGCGAAAGCCUGACCGAGCGACGCCGCGUGAGCGAUGAAGGCCUUAGGGUCGUAAAGCUCUGUCAGGAGGGAAUAAAUACCCGCGGUUAAUACCCGCGGGGGUUGAAGGUACCUCCAGAGGAAGCGCCGGCUAACUACGUGCCAGCAGCCGCGGUAAUACGUAGGGCGCAAACGUUGUUCGGAUUCACUGGGUAUAAAGGGUUCGUAGGCGGGCCAGUUAGUCAGAGGUGAAAGCCAACGGCUCAACCGUUGAAUUGCCUCUGAUACUGCUGGUCUUGAGUCCGCUAGGGGAUGGUGGAAUUCCUGGUGUAGCGGUGAAAUGCGUAAAUAUCAGGAGGAACACCAGUGGCGAAGGCGGCCAUCUGGGGCGGUACUGACGCUGAGGAACGAAAGCUAGGGUAUCAAACGGG
rnacentral:rRNA from 1 species